rnacentral:rRNA from 1 species
GAUGAACGCUGGCGGCGUGCCUAAUACAUGCAAGUCGAGCGAACAGACGAGGAGCUUACUCCUCUGACGUUAGCGGCGGACGGGUGAGUAACACGUGGAUAACCUACCUAUAAGACUGGGAUAACUUCGGGAAACCGGAGCUAAUACCGGAUAACAUGUUGAACCGCAUGGUUCAACAGUGAAAGACGGUCUUGCUGUCACUUAUAGAUGGAUCCGCGUCGCAUUAGCUAGUUGGUAAGGUAACGGCUUACCAAGGCAACGAUGCGUAGCCGACCUGAGAGGGUGAUCGGCCACACUGGAACUGAGACACGGUCCAGACUCCUACGGGAGGCAGCAGUAGGGAAUCUUCCGCAAUGGGCGAAAGCCUGACGGAGCAACGCCGCGUGAGUGAAGAAGGUCUUCGGAUCGUAAAACUCUGUUAUUAGGGAAGAACAAAUGUGUAAGUAACUAUGCACGUCUCGACGGUACCUAAUCAGAAAGCCACGGCUAACUACGUG